CCCACUGACCAUCAAAUUCAAUGUGAAGUCGUGAAGACCAAACACUGCUGUAAUAUUUCAGAGUAUCAUUUGAUGAAAUUGUCUGAAUUUUCAACUGUCUACAGAGAGCCUUCUGGGUACCAGGUGUCAGAGCAGAGCCCUGAGCCACGUGAGGAAGCCAGUGAUGGGGAGAGCCCUCCAGACAGAAGCAGCAGCAUGGAUUCGAACAGCCCUUUUGUGAGACAACACUGAAACAUUUCCAAAAGAGAGACAAGGUAAGGUCAUUGGCAUAGUCUGAAAUAAACUUAGGGAGAGGUGGGAGUGGAGUGGAGGGAGCUCUCCCCAGCAGUUUAGAUGUACAUUGCACAUCAUCUUGGUACUUUAUCAGCAUCCAGGAUCUUGAAUCUGACACUCCAUCUUAUAUAUAUUAAAGCACAAUCCUGUCAUGUCCCACAGUUGGUCACAUUGAUGUUGAUUAAAUUUAGAAGAGACAAAUAAUAUAUAACACGGAAUGCCCAUUUACUAGUUUCUGAUGAUAACCAGAGUGAUCGAUCUAUUUGCAUCCCAUUGCUCAUGCCCCUGAAAAGUCAUACCAACCCGGUACUCAUUUCCAGGCAUUUAGGUUCUCAGAAAGCCCAAAUCAACAACCAGAAGGUUGCCUGGUGAGCAGAGAAUUAGAGCCAAGAGCAGUGGAUGUUUUUUGAGUGUGACUCCAUUCACAUUAUGGUAAGACCCAGAGCAGAUGCCUCCUGACCAGAAUGCUACUGUCCUCUAGAACCAAUAUUUAGUAGGUUUUGAAAUUCCUUUUUAUCUUUUAUCAUGGCGCACCAUCAUGCCCAGAAUGGACUCAUAUCUACUUGAGAUUCAAUAUACUAACAUGAAGUCAAGGCUUUACAGCUGUAUCACAUAAAGCAAAAUCAUAUAUAGUUAGUUAGUUAUAUUUGACUCUUCCAAAUUUAUCCUGGGUAAUCACAGAUGGAGCAGACAACUCCAAGAAGACAUUAAAAUGAAUGCAACCUUAAAUACUUAAAUACUUAAGACCCAGAACUUCCGUUGAUGGACUGUAAUGGAUCAGUUUAUUCCAAGGAAGGCAAGGAG
rnacentral:lncRNA from 1 species